UCAAACUCCUCUCACUCUACUUUCUCCACUUAGCUUCCUCUCCUUUUUCUCUCAAAACUCACUCCUUCACAACAACUGUUCCACGUAUUUUCUCAUAUUCUAACUUAGUUUCCACCACUUCUUGAAGCAAAGAGUGAAAUUGGGACUUUUGUGGAGUUCUUGUCGGAACGAACCGAACGUUCCUUUCCUAUGACUUCUUAAGCUGUAUUUGGAUUUUCCAGUACUUCCCACUUGGAGUUUUCUUCCCCUCCCCCUCACGUCAGCGUCAGUCAAGAUGUGGAAACUUCUAGUGAUCGUGCGGAUAGCAGAGAUGCUACUCUUUAGUGUAAGCAUUUUUGUUAUCGUUGUUUUGAGCACCUUUUAAAACUGCUUUUCCCUUGUAAUUUCUUGCUAUGUGAGCAAUCUUUUAACUAAACUAUUUUGUUUUAUGAAACAUGCUUAUGACAUUAUUCUAUAUCUAUAAUACUUUUA